rnacentral:rRNA from 1 species
AGAGUUUGAUCCUGGCUCAGGAUGAACGCUAGCGGCAGGCCUAACACAUGCAAGUCGAACGGUAAGAUCCAGCUUGCUGGAUACACGAGUGGCGCACGGGUGAGUAACGCGUAUGCAACCUACCUUUAACUAGAGAAUAGCCCGGGGAAACCCGGAUUAAUACUCUAUAAUAUCUUAGAUUCGCAUGUUUCUAAGAUUAAAGCUCCGGCGGUUAAAGAUGGGCAUGCGUGACAUUAGAUUGUUGGUGAGGUAACGGCUCACCAAGUCUACGAUGUCUAGGGGGCCUGAGAGGGUGGUCCCCCACACUGGUACUGAGACACGGACCAGACUCCUACGGGAGGCAGCAGUGAGGAAUAUUGGGCAAUGGACGAAAGUCUGACCCAGCCAUGCCGCGUGCAGGAUGACGGCCCUACGGGUUGUAAACUGCUUUUAUACAGGAAGAACUCCCUGAUCGUGAUCAGGGUUGACGGUACUGUACGAAUAAGCAUCGGCUAACUCCGUGCCAGCAGCCGCGGUAAUACGGAGGAUGCAAGCGUUAUCCGGAUUUAUUGGGUUUAAAGGGUGCGUAGGCGGAAAUUUAAGUCAGUGGUGAAAUCCUGCAGCUCAACUGUAGAACUGCCAUUGAUACUGAUUUUCUUGAGUCCAGUUGAGGUGGGCGGAAUGUGUAGUGUAGCGGUGAAAUGCUUAGAUAUUACACAGAACACCAAUUGCGAAGGCAGCUCACUAAACUGGCACUGACGCUGAGGCACGAAAGCGUGGGGAGCGAACAGGAUUAGAUACCCUGGUAGUCCACGCCGUAAACGAUGAUCACUCGCUGUUGGCGAUACACAGUCAGCGGCUGAGCUAAAGCAUUAAGUGAUCCACCUGGGGAGUACGAUCGCAAGAUUGAAGCUCAAAGGAAUUGACGGGGGCCCGCACAAGCGGAGGAACAUGUGGUUUAAUUCGAUGAUACGCGAGGAACCUUACCUGGGCUUAAAUGCAGAACGACGAUUCGGGAAACCGAUUCUCCCUUCGGGGCGGACUGCAAGGUGCUGCAUGGUUGUCGUCAGCUCGUGCCGUGAGGUGUCGGGUUAAGUCCCAUAACGAGCGCAACCCCUAUUGUUAGUUGCCAGCGGAUAAUGCCGGGGACUCUAACGAAACUGCCGGUGUAAACCGUGAGGAAGGUGGGGAUGACGUCAAAUCAGCACGGCCCUUAUGUCC